GCCCACCCUCAAAGACUGGUUCUCGAACACUAAGCCCAGCCAUUUCUCACUAGAUAGAAAACUUAAACCACCAAAGGAGAGUUCUGCGUGACCAAAAUUAUGUUUUGUAGUCAACUUUUUCAAGUGGAGGAAAUUACCAAAGAGAAACACAUACCAAAAGUUAAUUUAACAAGAAUUCCAGACUCAGAGGACAAAAAUGAGAUUGAAGGAGGGCUCAAUAUUCUGUUUCCUGAGAAUAUUCAUUAAGCAAUUGCUAGGUUUUGUUGCUGAACAGUGUAAUUUUUCAUUCUAGUUAAUUUCCUUUGAGAAGUUCUGAAAUACUAGGACCUUACUUGUUCUCACUGGCCAUAGAAUUACAUGUUAAGCAAAGCCCAAGAUUUAGUAACGUACAAAUCAUUCUGGCUUCCCGCUACUGUGAGAAACUACACUCAGCAGUUGCCCAAGCCCAGAAUCUGGUACUCUGCAUGACAAAUCAGCAAAUAAACCUGCCACCUGGAAUCUGAGCUUUGGAACUACUACUAUAAACAGCCAUAUACACAUCAUAACCCA
rnacentral:lncRNA from 1 species